ensembl:snRNA U6 U6 spliceosomal RNA
GUGCUCACUUCAAUAGCACAUAUACUAAAAUUGGAACCAUACAGAGAAGAUUAGCAUAGCCCCUGCGCAAGGAUGACACGCAAAUUCAUGAAGCGUUCCAUAUUUUU